rnacentral:lncRNA from 1 species
GGGGUCUGAGAUAAAGAACAAGGAAACUUUCUGCUCAGAGAUAGCAUGACAUGCUUAGGCUUGGGGUUACAAGGCUGCUUUUUGAAUAGCGAAUAUCUCAGUUGUGCACGACUCUAUGAAGGAGAGUCCCCUCCUGGCCACUUGCAAAGCACAUUGGCAGCCCCGAACUCCCUCAAUAGGCUGCUCCUGUGGGCAGAGCCUCCUUCACGAUCAAAGGGCUGCAGGCAGCUCUCCAUCAGAUUGAACAGAGAGCACUUUCUCUGUCGUGUGCCAAAAGCACUUACAAGGUGGUUUUGCCCAGCCCUCGUUGGCCUGAGUAGGAAACUUGUGUAUGAGCCUGCAGUGGGUUGACCUUGUCUGAAUGCAAGGUGCCCACCGAGCCAUUCUAUCACUGCCCUCCUCAGCAGGAGAGGGGUGGGUAGAGAAUAAGAUGAAAAGGAAUUCAUGGGUCAAGAUAAAGGCAGUUUAAUAAAGCAAAAGCAAAGGCUGUGUGUGGAAGCAAAGGAAAACAAAAGAUGUAUUCUCUACUCCUCAUCAGCACGCUAUGCCCAGCCACUUCCUGGGAAGUAGGGCUUCAGUACAUGUAGCCUUUACAGAUGUUGUAAUAGCAAAUGCACCCUCCCUUUUCUCUUAGAUUUAUUGCUGGGUAUGGAAUAUCCCUUAGGUCAGUUAGUGUCAGCUGUCUUGGCUAUGUCCCCUCCCAAGCCUACUGGUGAGUAAGGAAUAUUGGAGAGACAGCCUUGAUGCUGUGAAGCACUGCUUGGUGGUAGCCAAAACACUGGUGUAUUAUCCACACCUUCCUAGCUACCCAUUCACAACACUAUGAGGGCUGCUGCGGGGAAAAUCAACUCCAUCCUAGCCAGGCUCAACACAGAAAAUGAGAUAGUGGUUAUAUUGUGUGUCAGCUGCAGUUCUGUGGCAGCCUGGAAGUGGCAACAGAUCUGGCCAGGCGCUGCGGGCUGGUCUACACUGUUUGGUGUUUAGAUCAUAUGAAUCUGGCCUGGGUGGGAAGUGACAUCUUGGGUGAAUCCAGAUGGUCAUGAGGCAGGUAGAGGUUGGGGGGACGUGGGAAGGUGGAGCCCUUCAACCUCCCAUCUGCAAGGGUUGAUCCACAGACCAGGGAGUGAAAAGGACCUGGGGGUGCUGAUUGAUGGAGCUGAACGUGAGCAGCUUGUGUCCAGGCAGCCAAGAAGGCCAACAGCAUCCUGGCCUGUAUCAGCACCAGUGUGUCAGCAGGGCCAGGGCAAUGACUGUCCCCCUGCACUGGGCACUGGUGAGGCUGCACUUUGAAUCCCAUUCAGUGCUGGGCCCCUCACUACAAGAAA